UGAUAGCGUAGAAGUGCGAAGUUACUCAAGGCCCAUUGUCAGGGCACAGAUAAUUCCAUGGAGCGAAUGUCAAGUUAGGAAACUGGCGACAA
rnacentral:ncRNA from 1 species